AGAGUUUGAUCCUGGCUCAGGAUGAACGCUGGCGGUAUGCCUUAUACAUGCAAGUCGUACGAGAGUUUUUAACUCUAGUGGCGGACGGGUGAGUAACACGUAAGAAUUUGCCUUUAGGAGGGGGACAACAACUGGAAACGGUUGCUAAUACCCCAUAUGCUUUCGAGUGAAAUGGAUUUCCGCCUAAAGAGAAGCUUGCGGCUGAUUAGCUUGUUGGUAGGGUAAUGGCCUACCAAGGCGACGAUCAGUAUCUGGUUUGAGAGGACGAUCAGACACACUGGAACUGAGACACGGUCCAGACUCCUACGGGAGGCAGCAGUAGGGAAUUUUCCGCAAUGGGCGAAAGCCUGACGGAGCAAUACCGCGUGAGGGAUGACUGCCUAUGGGUUGUAAACCUCUUUUUUCAGGGAGGAAUAAAUGACGUGUACCUGAAGAAUAAGCAUCGGCUAACUCCGUGCCAGCAGCCGCGGUAAGACGGAGGAUGCAAGUGUUAUCCGGAAUCACUGGGCGUAAAGCGUCUGUAGGUGGCUCGACAAGUCAACUGUUAAAUCUUGAAGCUCAACUUCGAAAUCGCAGUCGAAACUAUCGAACUAGAGUAUAGUAGAGGUAAAGGGAAUUUCCAGUGGAGCGGUGAAAUGCGUAGAGAUUGGAAAGAACACCGAUGGCGAAGGCACUUUACUGGGCUAUUACUGACACUCAGAGACGAAAGCUAGGGUAGCAAAUGGGAUUAAAUACCCCAGUAGUCCUAGCCGUAAACAAUGGAUACUAGGUGUUGAACAGAUCGACCUGUGCAGUACCAAAGCUAACGCGUUAAGUAUCCCGCCUGGGAAGUAUGCACGCA
rnacentral:rRNA from 1 species